rnacentral:tRNA from 1 species
GGCAGUGUAGCUCAGGGGUAGAGCAGACGACUCAUAACCGUCAGGUCGGUGGUUCGAAGCCACCCACUGCCACCA